rnacentral:rRNA from 1 species
AUACGGAGGAUGCAAGCGUUACUCGGAAUCACUGGGCGUAAGGCGCGCGCAGGCGGCCUGAUAAGUUGGAUGUGAAAGCCUACGGCUCAACCGUAGAACUGCAUCCAAAACUGUCAGGCUAGAGUGUGGGAGAGGAAGAUGGAAUUAGUUGUGUAGGGGUAAAAUCCGUAGAGAUAACUAGGAAUACCAAAAGCGAAGGCAAUCUUCUGGAACACUACUGACGCUGAGGCGCGAAGGCGUGGGGAGCAAACAGGAUUAGAAACCCCUGUAGUCC